UACGGAGGGUGCGAGCGUUGUCCGGAAUCAUUGGGCGUAAAGGGCGCGUAGGUGGCCCAGCAAGCGUGCGGUGAAAGCUCGGGGCUCAACCCCGAGUCGGCCGUGCGAACUGCUGGGCUGGAGCACUGUAGAGGCAGGCGGAAUUCCGGGUGUAGCGGUGGAAUGCGUAGAGAUCCGGAAGAACACCGGUGGCGAAGGCGGCCUGCUGGGCAGUUGCUGACACUGAGGCGCGACAGCGUGGGAGCAACAG
rnacentral:rRNA from 1 species